rnacentral:misc_RNA from 1 species
AGUCGAAUGGAUUCUCAACUGGCUAACAUUCGUUUUCGCAAGGUUUGUUCCACACAUUCUCAUUACUGCGAAGCUCAUCAUGGAUGCUUCCAAGUUUGAUAAAGGCGUCGAGCUGCCGCUUGCACUGUCUGGGAUGGCUGGCAUGAACCUGCUGAAUGCUUUGCUUGGCAUUGAUCUCUUAAACGCCGUAAGGAAAGAGAGUAAUUA